UGUAAAAAGAUGCUAGAGGAGGCAUGUAGUUACGGAUCCCUGCUUUGACUAGGUUCAUCCUGAUGUCAUUAAACACCAUGAUGUCCUGUUUGAUCACUACAACGCUUAAUCGUGAUUGUUUUGUUUCCUUUCCUUCCAAGUUGAUCAUUUUCAUGGCUUUGGCAGAUGGGAUCUCUCGAGUGAAAACAGGACCGAUUACUCUCCAUACAGAAACUGCUAUCCAUUUUGCAGAGCAGCUGACCAAGGCUAAAUUUACGGUGUCAAAGUCAGAAGAUGAUGGUUCGUCCAAGGAUGCCUACAUUAUUGAGUGCCAAGGAAUUGGAUUGUUAAAUGCCAACUUAUAGGUUCUGCUAAAUUUUUAUUUAAGAAUUACCUCCGCAAUGAAUUGCACUACAUUUCACCUAGACAUUUCGGAAGAGAUAAUGUGAUUAGAAAGUGGUCUGAAUUAAUUCCACUGAAGGAUGUUGGGGUUUCUCAUCUUGGGGAGUCUUCCUUUUUUCUAUGAGAAUGAAACACAGAGAAGUAGCUGAUCGUUACAGAUACUGCUGAGCUGGAAAGCAAUAAUUUCAGCAUUAAAAAUGACUUCUGUGAUUCAGUCAUUCCUAUUUUUUCCCCCAAGCACGGCAAUAGAAUAUACACAAAAGUACAGCAGCCACUGUCUACAUUUGUUUGAAAUUUCUGUAACCUUUUUUUGGACAUGAUUCCACCAAAAUAAAACAAUCUCAGCAAAUGAA